rnacentral:rRNA from 1 species
GGUUAAGCGACUAAGCGUACACGGUGGAUGCCCUGGCAGUCAGAGGCGAUGAAGGACGUGCUAAUCUGCGAUAAGCGUCGGUAAGGUGAUAUGAACCGUUAUAACCGGCGAUUUCCGAAUGGGGAAACCCAGUGUGUUUCGACACACUAUCAUUAACUGAAUCCAUAGGUUAAUGAGGCGAACCGGGGGAACUGAAACAUCUAAGUACCCCGAGGAAAAGAAAUCAACCGAGAUUCCCCCAGUAGCGGCGAGCGAACGGGGAGCAGCCCAGAGCCUGAAUCAGUGUGUGUGUUAGUGGAAGCGUCUGGAAAGGCGCGCGAUACAGGGUGACAGCCCCGUACACAAAAAUGCACAUAUUGUGAGCUCGAUGAGUAGGGCGGGACACGUGGUAUCCUGUCUGAAUAUGGGGGGACCAUCCUCCAAGGCUAAAUACUCCUGACUGACCGAUAGUGAACCAGUACCGUGAGGGAAAGGCGAAAAGAACCCCGGCGAGGGGAGUGAAAAAGAACCUGAAACCGUGUACGUACAAGCAGUGGGAGCACGCUUAGGCGUGUGACUGCGUACCUUUUGUAUAAUGGGUCAGCGACUUAUAUUCUGUAGCAAGGUUAACCGAAUAGGGGAGCCGAAGGGAAACCGAGUCUUAACUGGGCGUUAAGUUGCAGGGUAUAGACCCGAAACCCGGUGAUCUAGCCAUGGGCAGGUUGAAGGUUGGGUAACACUAACUGGAGGACCGAACCGACUAAUGUUGAAAAAUUAGCGGAUGACUUGUGGCUGGGGGUGAAAGGCCAAUCAAACCGGGAGAUAGCUGGUUCUCCCCGAAAGCUAUUUAGGUAGCGCCUCGUGAAUUCAUCUCCGGGGGUAGAGCACUGUUUCGGCAAGGGGGUCAUCCCGACUUACCAACCCGAUGCAAACUGCGAAUACCGGAGAAUGUUAUCACGGGAGACACACGGCGGGUGCUAACGUCCGUCGUGAAGAGGGAAACAACCCAGACCGCCAGCUAAGGUCCCAAAGUCAUGGUUAAGUGGGAAACGAUGUGGGAAGGCCCAGACAGCCAGGAUGUUGGCUUAGAAGCAGCCAUCAUUUAAAGAAAGCGUAAUAGCUCACUGGUCGAGUCGGCCUGCGCGGAAGAUGUAACGGGGCUAAACCAUGCACCGAAGCUGCGGCAGCGACGCUGAUGCGUUGUUGGGUAGGGGAGCGUUCUGUAAGCCUGCGAAGGUGUGCUGUGAGGCAUGCUGGAGGUAUCAGAAGUGCGAAUGCUGACAUAAGUAACGAUAAAGCGGGUGAAAAGCCCGCUCGCCGGAAGACCAAGGGUUCCUGUCCAACGUUAAUCGGGGCAGGGUGAGUCGACCCCUAAGGCGAGGCCGAAAGGCGUAGUCGAUGGGAAACAGGUUAAUAUUCCUGUACUUGGUGUUACUGCGAAGGGGGGACGGAGAAGGCUAUGUUGGCCGGGCGACGGUUGUCCCGGUUUAAGCGUGUAGGCUGGUUUUCCAGGCAAAUCCGGAAAAUCAAGGCUGAGGCGUGAUGACGAGGCACUACGGUGCUGAAGCAACAAAUGCCCUGCUUCCAGGAAAAGCCUCUAAGCAUCAGGUAACAUCAAAUCGUACCCCAAACCGACACAGGUGGUCAGGUAGAGAAUACCAAGGCGCUUGAGAGAACUCGGGUGAAGGAACUAGGCAAAAUGGUGCCGUAACUUCGGGAGAAGGCACGCUGAUAUGUAGGUGAAGUCCCUCGCGGAUGGAGCUGAAAUCAGUCGAAGAUACCAGCUGGCUGCAACUGUUUAUUAAAAACACAGCACUGUGCAAACACGAAAGUGGACGUAUACGGUGUGACGCCUGCCCGGUGCCGGAAGGUUAAUUGAUGGGGUCAGCGCAAGCGAAGCUCUUGAUCGAAGCCCCGGUAAACGGCGGCCGUAACUAUAACGGUCCUAAGGUAGCGAAAUUCCUUGUCGGGUAAGUUCCGACCUGCACGAAUGGCGUAAUGAUGGCCAGGCUGUCUCCACCCGAGACUCAGUGAAAUUGAACUCGCUGUGAAGAUGCAGUGUACCCGCGGCAAGACGGAAAGACCCCGUGAACCUUUACUAUAGCUUGACACUGAACAUUGAGCCUUGAUGUGUAGGAUAGGUGGGAGGCUUUGAAGUGUGGACGCCAGUCUGCAUGGAGCCGACCUUGAAAUACCACCCUUUAAUGUUUGAUGUUCUAACGUGGACCCGUAAUCCGGGUUGCGGACAGUGUCUGGUGGGUAGUUUGACUGGGGCGGUCUCCUCCUAAAGAGUAACGGAGGAGCACGAAGGUUGGCUAAUCCUGGUCGGACAUCAGGAGGUUAGUGCAAUGGCAUAAGCCAGCUUGACUGCGAGCGUGACGGCGCGAGCAGGUGCGAAAGCAGGUCAUAGUGAUCCGGUGGUUCUGAAUGGAAGGGCCAUCGCUCAACGGAUAAAAGGUACUCCGGGGAUAACAGGCUGAUACCGCCCAAGAGUUCAUAUCGACGGCGGUGUUUGGCACCUCGAUGUCGGCUCAUCACAUCCUGGGGCUGAAGUAGGUCCCAAGGGUAUGGCUGUUCGCCAUUUAAAGUGGUACGCGAGCUGGGUUUAGAACGUCGUGAGACAGUUCGGUCCCUAUCUGCCGUGGGCGCUGGAGAACUGAGGGGGGCUGCUCCUAGUACGAGAGGACCGGAGUGGACGCAUCACUGGUGUUCGGGUUGUCAUGCCAAUGGCACUGCCCGGUAGCUAAAUGCGGAAGAGAUAAGUGCUGAAAGCAUCUAAGCACGAAACUUGCCCCGAGAUGAGUUCUCCCUGACUCCUUGAGAGUCCUGAAGGAACGUUGAAGACGACGACGUUGAUAGGCUGGGUGUGUAAGCGCAGCGAUGCGUUGAGCUAACCGGUACUAAUGAACCGUGAGGCUUAACCUU